rnacentral:rRNA from 1 species
UACGGGGGGGGGCAAGCGUUGUUCGGAAUUACUGGGCGUAAAGGGCGCGUAGGCGGCCACCGCAAGUCGACUGUGAAAUCUCUGGGCUUAACCCAGAAAGGUCAGCCGAUACUGCGGGGCUAGAGUGCAGAAGGGGCAACUGGAAUUCUCGGUGUAGCGGUGAAAUGCGUAGAUAUCGAGAGGAACACCUGCGGCGAAGGCGGGUUGCUGGGCUGACACUGACGCUGAAGCGCGAAAGCAUGGGGAGCGAACAGG